rnacentral:rRNA from 1 species
GACGGCGAGGCUGCGAUCCGCGUCGGCGUCCUCCCUCCGCGGGAUCCUGCUCCGCCACUCGUCCGCCGCCGGUGCGCCCCCGCGCGCCGUCUCAGAUUUUCAGGUUCCUGGAUCUGCAACAUGGAGGCAUUUCUCAACAUGCAGGCCUAACCCUCUUGCAAAAGGGAACAGCUUUGGCUCAAUGGCUUCUCUGUACAGCCAGACAAGAUGGGCUUCUCAAGCCACUGCUGUUAAAGAAACAGACCCCAGUGGCGGCAAGAUAAGCAUUGGGCCCAAAUCCAAGCAGAUCAAGGAGGACAAAGAUGAUCAUCUGGUUUAUCAGGGACCGAUAUCAUCAACCAUCAAGAAAGUGAAGCUUCUGUCCCUGUCCACCUGCUGCCUCUCCGUGUCGCUAGGCCCUGUGAUAACGUUCAUGACUUCACCCGACAUGAAUGUGAUCCUCAAGGGAGGAGUUGCAUCUACUGUGAUCUUCCUCAGUGCCACAACAACCGCAGCCCUGCACUGGUUCGUGAGCCCGUAUAUCCACAAGCUGAGGUGGCGACAGGGCUCAGACAGCUUCGAGGCGGAGAUAAUGUCGUGGCUGGCUACACCCCUGAAGAAGACAAUCAAGUUUGCUGACAUCAGGCCCGCGGAGACUAACCGGCCUUUCGUCACCUUCAGGGCCGAGGGGAACUUCUACUUCGUCGACGCCGAUCACUUCCCCAACAAGGCCUUGCUGGAGAGGCUCACGCCUAAGCUCCCCAACGAGUCCGCGUUCAAGAACUUGUGA